UACGGAGGGAGCUAGCGUUAUUCGGAAUUACUGGGCGUAAAGCGCACGUAGGCGGUUUGUUAAGUCAGGGGUGAAAUCCCGGAGCUCAACUCCGGAACUGCCUUUGAUACUGGCAAGCUAGAGUCCGGAAGAGGUAAGUGGAACUCCUAGUGUAGAGGUGGAAUUCGUAGAUAUUAGGAAGAACACCAGUGGCGAAGGCGGCUUACUGGUCCGGAACUGACGCUGAGGUGCGAAAGCGUGGGGAGCAAACAGG
rnacentral:rRNA from 1 species